CUUAGAGUCUCCUGAAGGAACGUUGAAGACGACGACGUUGAUAGGCCGGGUGUGUAAGCGCAGCGAUGCGUUGAGCUAACCGGUACUAAUGAACCGUGAGGCUUAACCUU
rnacentral:rRNA from 1 species